UACGUAGGCAGCAAGCGUUGUUCGGAGUUACUGGGCGUAAAGGGCUCGUAGGUGGCCAACUAAGUCAGACGUGAAAUCCCUCGGCUUAACCGGGGAACUGCGUCUGAUACUGGAUGGCUUGAGUUCGGGAGAGGGAUGCGGAAUUCCAGGUGUAGCGGUGAAAUGCGUAGAUAUCUGGAGGAACACCGGUGGCGAAGGCGGCAUCCUGGACCGACACUGACACUGAGGAGCGAAAGCCAGGGGAGCAAACGGG
rnacentral:rRNA from 1 species